rnacentral:piRNA from 6 species
UAAUCUGAGGGUCCAGGGUUCAAGU